rnacentral:rRNA from 1 species
GUUUGAUCCUGGCUCAGAUUGAACGCUGGCGGAAUGCUUUACACAUGCAAGUCGAGCGGCAGCGCGGGGGCAACCCUGGCGGCGAGCGGCGAACGGGUGAGUAAUGCAUCGGAACGUACCCAGUCGUGGGGGAUAACGUGGCGAAAGUCACGCUAAUACCGCAUACGUCCUGAGGGAGAAAGCAGGGGAUCGCAAGACCUUGCGCGAUUGGGAGCGGCCGAUGUCUGAUUAGCUAGUUGGUGGGGUAAAGGCCUACCAAGGCGACGAUCAGUAGCUGGUCUGAGAGGACGAUCAGCCACACUGGGACUGAGACACGGCCCAGACUCCUACGGGAGGCAGCAGUGGGGAAUUUUGGACAAUGGGCGAAAGCCUGAUCCAGCCAUUCCGCGUGAGUGAAGAAGGCCUC